CCUACGGGAGGCAGCAGUGGGGAAUAUUGGACAAUGGGCGCAAGCCUGAUCCAGCAAUGCCGCGUGAGUGAGGAAGGCCUUAGGGUUGUAAAGCUCUUUCGCACGCGACGAUGAUGACGGUAGCGUGAGAAGAAGCCCCGGCUAACUUCGUGCCAGCAGCCGCGGU
rnacentral:rRNA from 1 species